rnacentral:lncRNA from 1 species
AGAGCAAACAGCCCUGCUAUCCCUGCUGCAUAGUACAGCCUGCCAGUCCCAUCAUUUCCCAGAAGGCAGCAGACAGAAUGAAGAGGCAAAAGGGGAAGUGCCUACUUAACACAGCUCAGGGAUGACAACCAGGAUGGUGUCGCUGAUGAUGAUGAUGAGAAGCUCUUCUUCCUGGAUAUGCGGUGCUUUGAUGUGCUGGCUCUGACUAGCUCUGACCCUGUGUUCCCAAGACCCAGGGAGCCUUUGAGGACACCUCGGGGGGAGCAGGUCAUAAGCCAAUGACUCAUUCGUGUUGGGUUGUGGGGUGAGUGGUAACCUCCAAAAUGUGCUCCUGCUCCCUCCCUGCAUGGGAAGUGAAGCCAACCGAGGCAGAGGUGGCCUGUCUGGGCCAACCUUUCCCUCAAGGUGGCAGAAAUGCCCCCAUCAGAAAUGCUCUUUUAGAGCAAACAUUGUCCCCUCCAGGAGCAUCUUAAAAUGUAAAUAUGCUGGGACAAUGUGUGCCUUCUGUGUUCCGGGCCCUGAAAACACUGCAAGAGGAGAAAAGCUACAGCCUCUACCCCCUUAUUUUCCUGAAGGUAGACUGGAGAGUGCAGAGGCUUCCCCCACAUUUCAGGCUCCCCUGCGGAAUGAGAAGCAGCCUCUCGUCCCCUUGUCAGUGCUGAGCCCAUAGGGGUGGUAGCCAACACGAGAGGCAGCGAAGCCUGUUCAAACUUGUAUUUAUUUUCUAAGAGGUCGGGAUGAGGGCAUGGGGAUGGGGAUGCAUAACUUGGGUUUCGGGAGGAGCCACAGACCUUGGGGAGAAGGAUGGAGCCUCCUGCCCUCAGUCGUGCUGCUAGUAGGGGUGAUUCAGGGUGUGCUCCAUGAUGGUCCGAAGCGCCAUCCACGUCUCCUGGGCCGUGGGGAUGAUCUGUGUGGCCGGCAGCAGGAAGCCAUACUGCCCAGUGUCCCGGAGCUCAAAGCUGAAGGCGUACUUGAUGCCACUGUCAUAGGCCCAGUCGACGGUGAUCCCACUGGCCACAUCUAGAAACAAAAGUUCCAAAAUGUGCCCCACAAAAGGAAGAAGGGGAUGUGGCUGCAAGGUACAGAGGCAUCCUGGGUGGAAAGUGAGCCCUGGGAGCCAAACCCCCACCCACCCCAGGCCACACCAGGCUUCCUGCCCAGGCCUCAAACAGGAUCACAUCUGUGCACCCAGCCCAUUCUCUACUCCUGCAAAAAGAAAGCUCCUGCAGGCUACUAGGCUUAGGAACCUUGCAGUAAGCCAGGCACUGGGAGCUGUGCACAAAAGCUGCCAAGAAACAGCUCCCUGGGUACCACUGUUCACCCUUCUAUCCAGUGUGGGAGGCAGCUUUGGGCCAGCACAGCUAGAUCCUUGGCACUGCCCUGCAGCCAGCCCCAGGUAGAUGUGGUGUCUGAAGCAGGGCCAGGGGAGGCUCACUCACAGAGGGUGGUGCUGAUGCUGCCAAAAAUGUACUCGAUCCCAUGGACCUUAUACAAGGCCUCCACCGCAUCCUUGGCAAGAUCGUACUGCAAGAUGACAUUGGCGGGGUGAAAGGCAGGGGCUCCCCGGGGCUCCCACACACUCCCCCACCCUCACCAGCUGGUGAGAAGCAUGGAUUUAGCAGUCCUGGAAGUUGAAGGUGGAGAUGGCCCUUGUGAGAAGGGAGCACAGCAUUUCCAGCUUUGAACUUGAUCACACGUGAGAACAGCAAGCUCCCCCUACCCCACCCCCGCACCAUGGGGUCAAUCAGCCCAGACCCCUGCAUUCAGAGUAACAACCUGAGCCCUCUGGGAGUAUGACAGAUAUGGAUUUUCCUGUGAAGCGGUCUCUUCUCCCCAGGCCCUAAGCAGCCAGUCUCACCAACUCCCUCUGAUUUGAAACGGGCUCCAGCAAUCGGCCGUAAGGGUACAUAAGCAUCUGAGAGUAGCUGUGGAUGGAGAUCAGAGCCUUGAAGUUGCCAUGGGCUGUGAUGAAGUUCACUAUGGCAGCCACCUCCGGCUCCGACUGAGGGGAGGGCCCGUGAUAAGUUUCUGAGCAGGGGUUGCUGUUAGAACCAUUUCCUGGAAGUAAAAUAAAGCCACCCAAAGAGUCAAAUCCCCACGUGCGACACAGACGGUGCUCACAAAAUACCUGUGUGUUCCCCUACAUUUCCCAGCCUCCUUUGCAGUAUGACUGAGGUCAUGUGACUACUUUGACCAAUGGAAAGGUGAGCAGAAAUGACACGGCACUUCUGGGUUGAGAUUGUUAAGAGCAAGUGUGACUUCUCCAUGCUCUUUUCUGUCUGUGUGGCUGGAAGCAAAAAAAAAAAAUUCUAGAUAGAAACAGCCUCCUGGAUCCCUCUCUCACUGCGGAAGAAAGCCGCCAAGGAGAGUCACCUGUUCAUGUUGGACUUUGUGUGCAUGAAAAACAAACUUUCAUUGUGUUAAACCACUGAGAUUGGGAUGGAUAUUUGUUACUGCUGCAUCCUCUAAUCUAAUAUGUCAGAGGACUGCAGCCGCACCAUACCCUGCAGUUCUGAAGCCCUGCAGGGAGCCCCCUCGGCUUGUCCUGUGGUCCCUUUAGGAAGGUGGGCCUGGCUCAGAAGUUGCAUCCAGAGGAAACUAUGGAAUUUCUCUCUUCUUGGCCAGGCUGGAGUACAGUGGCGUGAUCUCGCCUCACCGCAACCUCUGCCUCCCAGGUUCAAGCGAUUCUCCUGCCUCUGCCUCCCGAGUAGCUGGGAUUACAGGAAGCUGACCCAAAUCUCAACAGCCUACCAUGACCAAUGUGUGCCAGCCACUGUGUGCCUGGUGCCAUCAGCUGUGACGAGCAGCUGCAAGGAAGACAGCAGCCUGCCAGCUGUGAGGACAAGGCAAAGGGUCUCCAAGGAUCUGGUGGAAGCCUGAAGUUGGGGUGAAAGUGGAGGACAGGGAGGAGAAAUCGGAAAAAGAAAGGACUAGAAGACUCAAUUUUCCCUACACAGCCUGGGACACCCACAGGAAGACAGGACCCAGGAGGCUGUCCUUUGUUCCACACAAGAGCUUGGAGGCAAAUGGGAAGUCAGCACCAAACUGCAAAUAACUUUCCAGACACCCUCACAGCCUUGUGAAUGGAGGUGACACCCUCUUUCAAACUGGGAAUUCUCAGCCCUCACAGCUGGCCCCACUUCCAGGAACAGGAAUCUGCCUUGGCCUGGAAAAUGCACCAGCGUUUGCUCCAUUCCUGGGGCUGGGGGAAGGGGAUGGGUGACGGAAGAAUGCGGUCAGGCCACAGGCUGAGGAAUGCCUAAUGACAGCCCUGUCAGGCUUCUCAGGAAAAAACAACAAAACAAAGAAACCAACCAACUCAGAAGUAAGCCAUCUGCCUCCCUGGAAGCCAUAACCUGACAGGGAAAGUAAUACCUCAGUGUGAAUUAAUUUACGAUGAGUCAAGGAAGGAUGGGGGCCCUAAGGGAAGAACAGUCCUCCCGGGUUGGGCAGGGGAGGAGGUAGCAGGGCCCCAGUGCUGAAGCUGAGGCGGAGGAGAGCAGAUCUCUCACAGCCGAACUCCAGCCACAGAUGCAAAAUGGACGCAGCUCAUGGAAACAGAGUGGGUUGGGGGCUCUGGGACAGCAGCCGCUGCCUCUCCUCCCACGUUCCUGGCCUUCUCUUCCAGGUCUAACAUCUGCAGUAGCAGCUAUGUGGCCAGUAGCAACUCCAGUCCUGUGGCACUGGAUGUGGGGGGUGGCUGCUGAUCUGAAGUUUUCAGAAUGGACCCCCUCAGAGGUCAAGGCCAAACCACAAGGCUUCCCUGUCUAAAAGGCAAAGUUAAAGUGCCACACAGACAACAGUGAUGACCACUGAGGGGACAGAUGCCUUGAGAGUGGAGUCUGAGGGUGCGGGAGCUCAGGUUAAACCCUGAUCCUGCCACCAACUCCAUCAAAUUACUAACAUCUCUGUGCCUCAGUUUCCCCAUUGUAAAAUGGAGGUCAUGUUAUCACAUACUUUAUCACAUACUUUAAAAUGUUCUCAUGAGAGCCAGGCGCAGUGGCUGACACCUGUAAUCCCAGCACUUUGGGAUGCCAAGGCAGAUGGAUCACUUGAGGCCUCCGGAGUUCAAGACUGGCCUGGCCAACAUGGCAAAACCCUGUCUCUACUAAAAAUACAAAAAUCAGCCAGGCGUGGUGGCGCGCGCCUGUAAGCCCAGCUACUUGGGAAACUGAGGCAGGAGAAUUGCUUGAACCCAGGAGGCGGAGGUUGCAGUUAGGGGCGAUUGUGCCACUGCACUCCAGCCUGGGCGACAGAGCAAGACUCCAUCACACAAACACACACACACACACACACACACCAAUGUUCUCAUGAGGAUUAGAAGGGUUAAUACAUGCUAAAUGCUUAGACUUUUGCCAGGCAUGUAGUAAAUGCUAGUGAAUGUUAGCUAUGAUGAUGAGGAGGAGUGUGACAAUGAUAAGGAGGGUGAUAAUAACUUUGGGGUGACUCCAGGGCUCUGUGAUGGAGCAUUACAAGGCAUGACCAGGAAGUCUGGGUUUCUCCAGAGGUAGGAUAGCUUCUGUAGGACUUGGAGGGCAGAAAGCCCCCAUUAAUGGUCAUCUGGGGGAGUCAGUCAGCACCUGACUUUCAUGGGGCCCAACAGAGGGGCCUGGGUCCUCUUCUUCUGUCCCUACCCCCAUGAUGCAGGCAGCCUCCAUCUCUCUUAGGGUCUUGCCCAUCACUGCUGCUGUCUUCCCUGGCUUCUCCUGCAAUCUUUCCUGUUGUCUUCUUCUCCUCUCUGGAGCUGCCACUCACCCACAGACCAGCCAACAGCAUUUCUACCUUUAAAACUCUGCUAUUCAAGCCAGGCAUGGUGGUGCACGCCUGCAGUCCCAGCCAUUCGGGAGGCUGAGGCAGGAGGAUCUCUUGAGCCCAGGCGUUCAAGGCUGCAGUACGCUAUGACUGUGCCUGUGAAUAGCCACUUUACUCCACCCUGGGCAAUAUAACAAAACCCCAUCUUAAAAAACAAAAACAAACAAACAAAAAAACCUCUCGUGGUUCACGCCUAUGAUCCCUGCACUUUGGGAGGCUGAGGCAGGUGGAUCACUUGAGGCCAGGAGUUUGGGACCAGCCUGGCCAACAUGGUGAAACCCUGUCUCUACUUUAAAAAAAAAAUUAAUAAUAAUAAUACAAAAAUUGGCCAGGGGUGGUGGUGUGUGCCUGUAAUCCAAGCUACUCGGGAGGCUGAGGCAUGAGAAUUGCUUGAGCCUGGGAGGUGGAGGCUGCAGUGAGCCGAGAUCAUGCCACUGUACUCCAGCCUGGGUGAGGGAGUGAGACCCUGUCUCAAAAAGAAAACAAAUAAACAAAUAAAAACUGUACUCUUCAGCUAGCAAGAUAAUAAUUUAAAGAAGUAAAGAAUUAAAUUAUAUAAGCAAUGAGAAAAAGGUAAAUGUCAACAAGAGUGAAAUGGGAAAGAAAGAGGAAGUUGGAGAAGUGGGGAAGAAGGGUACAAUUUAAAAUAAGAUGAGCAGUCUGGCGUGGUGGCUCACACCUGUAAUUUCAGCACUUUGGGAGCUCGAGGUUGGCGGGUUGCCUGAGCCCAGGAGUUCAAGAGCAGCCUGGGCAACAUAAUCAGACCCCAUCUCUACAAAAAAUACAAAAAUUAGCUGGGUAUGGUGACAUGGGCCUGUAGUCCCAGGGCCUGUACUUAGAAGGCUGAGGCGAGAGGAUGGAGUGAGCCUGGGAGUUCGAGGCUGCAGUGAGCCAUGAUCGUGCCACUGCACUUAAGCCUAGACAACAGAGUGAG